rnacentral:rRNA from 1 species
GCGGCGGACGGGUGAGUAACACGUGGGUAACCUGCCUGUAAGACUGGGAUAACUCCGGGAAACCGGGGCUAAUACCGGAUAACUCAUUUCCUCGCAUGAGGAAAUGUUGAAAGAUGGCUUCUUGCUAUCACUUACAGAUGGACCCGCGGCGCAUUAGCUAGUUGGUGAGGUAACGGCUCACCAAGGCAACGAUGCGUAGCCGACCUGAGAGGGUGAUCGGCCACACUGGGACUGAGACACGGCCCAGACUCCUACGGGAGGCAGCAGUAGGGAAUCUUCCGCAAUGGACGAAAGUCUGACGGAGCAACGCCGCGUGAGUGAUGAAGGUUUUCGGAUCGUAAAACUCUGUUGUUAGGGAAGAACAAGUACCGUUCGAAUAGGGCGGUACCUUGACGGUACCUAACCAGAAAGCCACGGCUAACUACGUGCCAGCAGCCGCGGUAAUACGUAGGUGGCAAGCGUUGUCCGGAAUUAUUGGGCGUAAAGCGCGCGC